CCUACGGGGGGCAGCAGUGAGGAAUAUUGGUCAAUGGACGAGAGUCUGAACCAGCCAAGUAGCGUGAAGGAUGACUGCCCUAUGGGUUGUAAACUUCUUUUAUAUGGGAAUAAAACGUUCCACGCGUGUGAUUUUGUAUGCACCAUAUGAAUUAGGAUCGGCUAACUCCGUGCCAGCAGCCGCGGUAAUACGGAGGAUUCCAGCGUUAUCCGGAUUUAUUGGGUUUAAAGGGAGCGUAGUUGGAGUGUUAAGUCAGUUGUGAAAGUUAGGGGCUCAACCGUAGAAGUGCAGUUGAAACUGGCAGUCGUGAGUGCAGUAGAGGUGAGCGGAAUUCGUGGUGUAGCGGUGAAAUGCUUAGAUAUCACGAAGAACUCCGAUUGCGAAGGCAGUUCACUGGACUGCAACUGACACUGAGGCUCGAAAGUGUGGGUAUCAAACAGGAUUAGAUACCCGGGUAGUC
rnacentral:rRNA from 1 species